rnacentral:rRNA from 1 species
CCACCUGACUCCAUGCCGAACUCAGAAGUGAAACGCCGUAGCGCCGAUGGUAGUGUGGGGUCUCCCCAUGCGAGAGUAGGACACUGCCAGGCA